rnacentral:rRNA from 1 species
CCCCUACGGGAGGCAGCAGUAGGGAAUCUUCCGCAAUGGGCGAAAGCCUGACGGAGCAACGCCGCGUGAGUGAAGAAGGUCUUCGGAUCGUAAAGCUCUGUUGUUAGAGAAGAACAGCGCAUAGAGUAACUGUUAUGCGUGUGACGGUAUCUAACCAGAAAGCCACGGCUAACUACGUGCCAGCAGCCGCGGUAAUGGGG